rnacentral:rRNA from 1 species
GGAUUCCCCUAGUAACUGCGAGUGAAGCGGGAAAAGCUCAAAUUUAAAAUCUGGCGGUCUCUGGCCGUCCGAGUUGUAAUCUAGAGAAGUGUUACCCGCGCUGGACCGUGUACAAGUCCCCUGGAAUGGGGCGUCAUAGAGGGUGAGAAUCCCGUCUCUGACACGGACUACCAGGGCUUUGUGGUAUGCUCUCAAAGAGUCGAGUUGUUUGGGAAUGCAGCUCAAAAUGGGUGGUAAAUUCCAUCUAAAGCUAAAUAUUGGCGAGAGACCGAUAGCGAACAAGUACCGUGAGGGAAAGAUGAAAAGAACUUUGGAAAGAGAGUUAAACAGUACGUGAAAUUGCUGAAAGGGAAACGCUUGAAGUCAGUCGCGUUGGCCGGGAAUCAGCCUCGCUUUUGCGUGGUGACUUUCUGGUUGACGGGUCAGCAUCAAUUUUGACCGCUGGAAAAAGGCUUGGGGAAUGUGGCAGCUCCGGCUGUGUUAUAGCCCCUUGUCACAUACAGCGGUUGGGAUUGAGGAACUCAGCACGCCGCAAGGCCGGGUUUCGACCACGUUCGUGCUUAGGAUGCUGGCAUAAUGGCUUUAAGCGACCCGUCUUGAAACACGGACCAAGGAGUCUAACAUGCCUGCGAGUGUUUGGGUGGAAAACCCGAGCGCGUAAUGAAAGUGAAAGUUGAGAUCCCUGUCGCGGGGAGCAUCGACGCCCGGACCAGAACUUUUGGGACGGAUCCGCGGUAGAGCAUGUAUGUUGGGACCCGAAAGAUGGUGAACUAUGCCUGAAUAGGGUGAAGCCAGAGGAAACUCUGGUGGAGGCUCGUAGCGAUUCUGACGUGCAAAUCGAUCGUCAAAUUUGGGUAUAGGGGCG